rnacentral:rRNA from 1 species
CCUACGGGGAGCUGCAGUGGGGGAUAUUGCACAAUGGGGGGAACCCUGAUGCAGCGACGCCGCGUGGGUGAAGAAGCGCCUCGGCGCGUAAAGCCCUGUCAGCAGGGAAGAAAAUGACGGUACCUGAAGAAGAAGCCCCGGCUAACUACGUGCCAGCAGCCGCGGUAAUACGUAGGGGGCAAGCGUCAUCCGGAUUUACUGGGUGUAAAGGGGGCGCAGACGGCGAUGCAAGCCAGGAGUGAAAGCCCGGGGCCCAACCCCGGGACUGCUCUUGGAAGUGCGUGGCUGGAGUGCAGGAGGGGCAGGCGGAAUUCCUGGUGUAGCGGUGAAAUGCGUAGAUAUCAGGAGGAACACCGGUGGCGAAGGCGGCCUGCUGGGCUUUUACUGACGCUGAGGCUCGAAAGUGUGGGGAGCAAACAGGAUUAGAUACCCUUGUAGUC